ACGCACGCUGGCGGCGUGCUUAACACAUGCAAGUCGAACGGGAAGGCCCUGCUUUUGUGGGGUGCUCGAGUGGCGAACGGGUGAGUAACACGUGAGUAACCUGCCCUUGACUUUGGGAUAACUUCAGGAAACUGGGGCUAAUACCGGAUAGGAGCUCCUGCUGCAUGGUGGGGGUUGGAAAGUUUCGGCGGUUGGGGAUGGACUCGCGGCUUAUCAGCUUGUUGGUGGGGUAGUGGCUUACCAAGGCUUUGACGGGUAGCCGGCCUGAGAGGGUGACCGGCCACAUUGGGACUGAGAUACGGCCCAGACUCCUACGGGAGGCAGCAGUGGGGAAUAUUGCACAAUGGGCGGAAGCCUGAUGCAGCAACGCCGCGUGCGGGAUGACGGCCUUCGGGUUGUAAACCGCUUUCGCCUGUGACGAAGCGUGAGUGACGGUAAUGGGUAAAGAAGCACCGGCUAACUACGUG
rnacentral:rRNA from 1 species